GAUGAACGCUAGCGAUAGGCUUAACACAUGCAAGUCGAGGGGCAGCAUGGUCUUAGCUUGCUAAGACUGAUGGCGACCGGCGCACGGGUGCGUAACGCGUAUGCAACUUGCCUCACAGAGGGGGAUAACCCGUCGAAAGACGGACUAAUACCGCGUACACUCCAUCUUGGGCAUCCAAGGUAGAGGAAAUGAAAUUCGCUGUGAGAUAGGCAUGCGUCCCAUUAGCUAGUUGGUGAGGUAACGGCUCACCAAGGCGACGAUGGGUAGGGGAACUGAGAGGUUGAACCCCCACACUGGUACUGAGACACGGACCAGACUCCUACGGGAGGCAGCAGUGAGGAAUAGUGGUCAAUGGGCGAGAGCCUGAACCAGCCAAGUCGCGUGAAGGAUGACUGUCUUAUGGAUUGUAAACUUCUUUUAGACGGGAAUAACAAGAGUCACGGGUGACUCCCUGCAUGUACCGGAUGAAUAAGCAUCGGCUAACUCCGUG
rnacentral:rRNA from 1 species